rnacentral:lncRNA from 12 species
CCGCUGGGCAUCGCCUCCUGGGGCACAGAGGUAGCAGAGCAGCCAAUGUCCAGUGGGGAUUGUCCCCAAGCAAAUCCUUGGAACUAUUUCAUGUCCCUAUGGAUACAUUCAUCAUAGAUCCAUGGAUCGUCGAUAGAUCCAUCAUCCCUCCAUUCAUCCAUGGAUGCAUGGAUCCAUCCAUCCAUAUAUAGAUCCAUGGAUCCAUCCCUCCAUCCAUCAUCCAUCCAUCAUCCAUCCAUCAUCCAUCCAUCCAUCCAUCCAUCAUCCAUCAUCCAUCCAUCAUCCAUCCAUCCAUCAUCCAUCCAUCAUCCAUCCAUCCAUCAUCCAUCCAUCAUCCAUCCAUCCAUCAUCCAUCCAUCAUCCAUCCAUCCAUCAUCCAUCCAUCAUCCAUCCAUCCAUCAUCCAUCCAUCAUCCAUCCAUCCAUCAUCCAUCCAUCAUCCAUCCAUCCAUCAUCCAUCCAUCAUCCAUCCAUCCAUCAUCCAUCCAUCAUCCAUCCAUCCAUCAUCCAUCCAUCAUCCAUCCAUCCAUCCAUCCAUGGAUCCACCCCUCUCUCCAUCCAUUCCAGACUCCAGAUCCCCAAAAAUCCACCCCAGGUUGAACUUGUACCGGGACAUGUUGAAGUCAAACUCAUGUCAGAACCUCCUGCCCCAAAUGUGGCAACCCAAGCACCAACCCCAAAGCUGGAGCCUUCCAGGGCCUUCUCAGCAUCACCCUGUGGUGUUUGCACCUUCCAGGACCUCCUCAGCAUCACCCUGUGGGUGUUGGCACCUUCCAGGACCCCGUCACAAUCACUCUGUGGGUGCUUGCACUUUCUGGCACCUCCUCAGAUUCACCCUGUGGGUGCUGGAUCAUCCAUCCAUCCAUCAUCCAUCAUCCAUCCAUCAUCCAUCAUCCAUCCAUCCAUCAUCCAUCAUCCAUCCAUCAUCCAUCAUCCAUCCAUCCAUCAUCCAUCAUCCAUCCAUCAUCCAUCCAUCAUCCAUCCAUCCGUCCAUCCAUCCCCACAAUUCAGCAUUUUGAUGUUUUGUCCCUCGGGGUGUCCUCAGGUGUUGGAGCAGCAAAACACCCCAGGGAUGGUUGGGAAUGGGAAAAUCUCACCUUUUCCCCCUGGGAAUUUU